UAGGAAGACAAGCAGCUACUCUGUAAGAAAAAUCUUAAAGACAUAGUGGUUUUUCAAGUUUUAAAUUUCUGAAGCAGGGAGCUACUACAUGGAUGAAGAUCGAUUUGUUUUUCAAGGCUCAUGAAUGGAAGCUCAAACCAAUGAAUGGAUUCUUUGAUUUCAUAUUCAACUCUUUUCUGAUGAACACUGUAGGGCUGUAUAAAGGAAUGAAGAGAUGCCCUGGACCUAGAGACGAACAGAUGCGCUGCUUCAGAUCCUGGCGGGAAGUACAAGGCAGAUGUGAAUGAACUCUACAAAUAGAGGAGUGAACUGAGCCUUAGGUCCAUCUAAAGACAAGUGGGUUAUAUAACCCAGUCCUAUGGUAAGAGGCACAGAAAGCCAAACCACUGAAACAGUUCUAAUGCACAGGGAGCCCCCACCAGGGAUGGCCAUCAACUGUCCCCUUUCCCUUCACUUUGUGCAUGGCUCAGAGCCCUCUUUCUAAAGUAGAACAGAGUUUGUAGGUCAUCUGCAGUCCAAAAUAGAUCAGCUAGCAGUUUUUCUUGGCCUAGUAAUCUAAACCCAAAUCUCAGGACCUAACAAACUUUACUCAAAUUUUAAGCAAGGGAAUGCAUUUAACAAUCUGAAAAAUAAAUGGGAUAAAAGGAUUGUAUUUUCUAAAACCUUUUAUGCUUCUUCCUUAGAACCUUCUGUUUAGUCCUUGGUGACUGAAUAUGGAAGUAACUCAGUGCUACUGUUUGAGAGUUUAGAAUUUACUUCUACGACUACGGGGAAGUAGGACAGCAGGGGAAAGGACCUGGUUCCAAGAAAACAUGUGCUUCCUUGGUCUUUCCAUGUCUGGCUCUCCUUGCUUGUGGUAAGCCAGCAACAGCCGUGUUGCAAAGGCCUAAGUCGGAAUUUGCUGCGAACAAGCAAAGGUGCUUCAGCCACAGAACAGGAAGAAUUCAAUCGGUAAUUCACACAAAAAUUAGAGUGGAAAAAAAAAAAGCAGUCUUAUUUGUGUAACUCAUCAUGUCCAGGUUUGAGAGAGCAAGAUCCCAAAGACAGGACCCACCACCAACACGGUAUUUAAGGCAGGAAUGAACUACAGUCACUCUCACCCUAUGCUUACCGCUUUAUGAAGCAGAGUUAAAUUAGGAUUUUUUAAUGGUUGAUUUUUAACAACCAAUUUUAGUGCAGAAGAAUGAUAUAAACCAAAAUACUUAGUAUCCCCUAAAAAAAAACUGCAUAGUUGAAAUACACAACUGUCUAAAUACUGGGACGAUAAACAGGCAGUAUCUUGAUGCAGUUUCCUUGCCCCAUAACAUCCUGGUACCAACUGGUGCUGAACACACUAUUAGGCAUUAUAUGACUUAGUAACUCCAAAGCCACUCCCUUGGAGCCCACGUACCCCAGAGCUGACUCUGACAUACUUAUUUCAAUACUGAGAUUUAAAAUGACCAAGACAACAAAAUCUUCCACUGUUCUACCACUAAACUAAGAUAAGGGUAAAAAUAUAUUUAAAGUGUUUGUAUCAGGUUUGAAAAAAGGACUGCCUAGCUAUACAAAAGUUGCCUGCAAACUUAUGGCAUUAUCUGUAAAACCUUCAAAAAUAUUAGUCAAGGUUGCAUGGGAAUCCUUAAGCAAUCUAACUUUAUUAGAUUCUUCUUAGAAACACUUGUUAAAACACACAAAACCAUGCCUCAAAUUGUCCACCUGAGAUACAUAUUAACAAAAGCAAGAAACCUAUAGACACCUGGUUAUGAGCCUACUGCCCCCCAAGCAACCAUCCUCACAAAGUCCUCUCUGAAAACUGGAUGAAUUCUACCUCAAGAACAUUAAAAGUGGUAGUACGCUGAUUAGUGUAUAAGACUCCUGUAUCAACUAUCUAUAUCAAAUUAGGAUCCUAUGCUAAUUUACUCAAAAUUAAAACCUGCACUACUUGACAAAGAAUAUGGCUGAUUAAUGGAUGAUUUUUCAGGCUAAAAUAGAAAUCAUCUCCAUGUUUUAAGAAGAUAAACCUCAAAGAGCUAUUUUUCCUAAAUUUAAAAACUGGUAAUCAUUUCCUUUAGGCAGAAAUCAUAAAUAUUAGCUAUUUUAUACUCAAAACUGAUACAUCUCAAAAAUGAGCAGAAACAGGCUUCAUCAAUUUUUCUCUAAUAGUGAUCUCACCAGAAGGAUAUGUGUAAGAAUUAAUGUCCAAACAGCCAUUUUUUGUGGUGUCAACCCAUAUUGUAUGAAAAGAUAGCUAAAAAGCUUUUCUUUCAGAAGUCCAGAAGAACUGAAACACACUACUACUAUGUGCUACUUGAAACUCCUCUUUAAGGUAAUGUAUUUAUGAUUCAAGAGCCAAACACCUGAUCUGAUUGUAAGAAAUUUAUUAAGAGACUCCUCCAGAACUAAGAUUACAAGCUAUUAACUAAUACACAACUGACAGGCGUAAUAGCAAGAACACCUUAAGGACUGUGACAUUUUACUAUUUCUGCACUGUUUUACAUAAGUAGCUGCCCAUGAAAUUUUCAGAAGCUCUAGCUUUGAUCAAAUGCAGCUAGAGUAUUACCACAGAAGGUGUCUGGGGAAUGAAGCACGAGUGUUGUUUAUAUGCCUUUCUUAAAUACAGUAAAAAAGCAACCUGUCUUCAUAUUUUGAAGAUGCAUAAAAAAUCAGU